AUUAUCCAUUUAAUCCGACAAAUAAUUGUUUUGGGUCUUCAAAAAUUCAUGAUUUUGCGUAUGAAGAAUGAAUUUCGUUUUCCCUCUUGGGAGUAGGUGAAGAUGAAGACCAAUUCGAAUGCUACAGGUAGUUGGCAGAAGAAUCGCCUUAUGGAAGCUACAAAACUUAAUAAGAAGGCUUCGUAGGAGAGCUUCAUGCAUGUGACUUAAUGCUUCUCCUCUUUUAAAAUCCGCUGGAAGGAUUUUCUGAGCGGUUCGAUGCAGAGAGGCAGAGCUCUUAACGCUUAGCUUUGCAAAUCUGUUAAAAUCUUGAACGGCUACUUGGACAAAAAGGCUUGCGGAGUGAGAAUCUCAGAGGAGUUCGUAGUAAAUUAGUUUCCCCUGUUUUCCAUUGAAGCCCUAAUUUUCAGUUUUGUUAAUAGGGGGUGUUUCUUUUCAUUUUCUUGGGCUAGGGGAUUAAAAACUAUGACACAUCAUCUUCUAUUCUUUUGUGUAAAUUUGUUUCGCCAAUUUCCUUUUUUCGGUCUUUUCUAUGUAUGUAAAUUGGUUUCCCUGUUUCAGUUGAAGCCCUUAAUUUCCAGUUUUGUUAAUAGGGAGUGUUUCUACAAUGCAGGGCUGACAAGCUUCGAACAACAAAGGCAUCAGGAAAAAAAAAAAGAGAAAAAAAGAAGCAAUGACGGGGCUUAACUCUUCAAUGACUUCUGGGAAGACAUAGGGUCAAUUAGGGACCAUCAUAUCCUUAUUUGGGGCAAACCUUGCCCUCGCCGAACAUCUGCAAAUAUUGCUACCAGGCUUUUGGGUUGCAGCAUGCAGGACUUGAGAUGUCAAGAUGUCAAACAACAACGCUGUCCCAACUGAGAGUGCAGGCCCAAACAAGGCCAAGAGCCAAUAUCGUGUUGUUCUAGCUCUUUGAGUACGGGCCCAAACCAAUACUGGUAAUCUCCUCCAAUUAAUAAAAAAAAGAUUUAGGCAUUGGUUUAACAUACAGGUCUCCCUAUGUUGCUGCAUUAUCAAAUGUUUAGGUUGGUCAAAUUAUUAUUUAUUCUUUAUUAUCUUGGAAGUGGAGGUAUAUGUUUUCACCUUAUGUGAAAUAAGCAUAAAUUAAUUGCUGUCUUUAAUUUGGUUUAAUUGUUUAGAUGAAGAAAAGUUGUGGAGAGAAGGGAUUACACAAGCAUUCCAUUCACUGCUUCUGUUCUCUCUUCGUUUAAUUGUUUUCGUAAACUUAUUGGGAAUGUUCAAUACUUUUUUGAAUGGGGCAUGGCAAUCUCAGAAGUGCAGGGAUAAGGAAAAUUAUCUUCACAGUGAUAGUGGAUGAUAGUGACAAUAGGUUACACCAACUUCAAAUAAUCUGAGGAUGGUGACUUUAGAUUAAGAGGUAAUUGUUAAAAUAAUUAAAUAAAACAAAAGGUUUUUUUAUUCUGUUUAGACAUUAUAUGAUUGUUGAAUCAAGGUGGAAUAUCGGCGAACCUCUCCCAAAAAUCUCGGAGACUAAUAUCCAAUCCCGAACUCGACGAGAAGCCCUAACGACUGUUUUGGUUUUUCCUAUGUUUUUUUUCUCUGUUGUCCCUGUUUGGGUUUUUUAUUUGUAAAUUUGUUCUCUCUUUUUCAAUUGACGCACUAAUUUUAAGUUUUGUGAAUAGCGAGUGUUUCUACAAUUCAGGAUUGAGAAGCUUUGUACAUAAAUGGCAACCGAAAAACAAGAAAAAAAGAGCAUGACGGAGUUUGCAGAGGAUGAUGGAUUUCUUUUGGCAACACUUGAAAAGUUGGUACAGCAACUAUUUCAAAACUUGGAACUUUUAGCCCUCUUUGCUAUAUUUUGACUGUUAGAUUUGGCAUCUUUUGCUUCUGUUAUUAUGCGACCAUCUCAAUGGUUGUAUGUGAAUCUUUAAUGUCAUUUCAAAUAUUGAAGGAAAUAUCUGAUUUUGCA